rnacentral:rRNA from 1 species
AUUGAAUGCUGGCGGCAGGCUUAACACAUGCAAGUCGAGCGAGCGGCGGACGGUUGUGUAAUGUCUGGGAAACUGCCUGAUGGAGGGGGAUACCUACUGGAAACGGUAGCUAACACCGCAUACCAUCAGAUGUGCCCAGAUGGGAUUAGCUAGUAGGUGGGGUAAUUGCUCACCUAGGCGCCGCUCCCUAGCUGCUCUGAGAGGACGAACAGCCACACUGGAAGUGCGGCACGGUCCAGACUCCUCCGGGAGGCAGCAGUGGGGAAUAUAGCACAAUGGGCGCAAGCCUGAUGCAGCCAUGCCGCGUGUGUGAAGAAGGCCUUCGGGUUGUAAAGCACUUUCAGCGAGGAGGCGUUACUCGCCGAAGAAGCACCGGCUAACUCCGUGCCAGCAGCCGCGGUAAUAC